GAUGAACGCUAGCUACAGGCUUAACACAUGCAAGUCGAGGGGCAGCGGUAUCGAAAGCUUGCUUUCGGUAGCCGGCGACCGGCGCACGGGUGAGUAACGCGUAUCGAACCUGCCUCAUACUCGGGAAUAGCCUUGCGAAAGUAAGAUUAAUGCCCGGUGUUUUCAGAGUCCCGCAUGAGGCUUUGAACAAAGAUUUAUCGGUAUGAGAUGGCGAUGCGUCCCAUUAGCUUGUUGGCGGGGUAACGGCCCACCAAGGCAUCGAUGGGUAGGGGUUCUGAGAGGAAGGUCCCCCACAUUGGAACUGAGACACGGUCCAAACUCCUACGGGAGGCAGCAGUGAGGAAUAUUGGUCAAUGGGCGGAAGCCUGAACCAGCCAAGUGGCGUGCAGGAAGACGGCCCUCCGGGUUGUAAACUGCUUUUAGUUGGGAAUAAAACGGGGCUCGUGAGCCCCCUUGCAUGUACCAUCAGAAAAAGGACCGGCUAAUUCCGUG
rnacentral:rRNA from 1 species